rnacentral:rRNA from 1 species
UACAGAGGUCCCAAGCGUUGUUCGGAUUCACUGAGCGUAAAGGGUGCGUAGGUGGUGAGGUAAGUCGGAUGUGAAAGCUCCGAGCUCAACUCGGAAAUGGCAUUGGAAACUACCUUGCUCGAGGGUUUGAGGGGGGACUGGAAUACUUGGUGUAGCAGUGAAAUGCGUAGAUAUCAAGAGGAACACCAGUGGCGAAGGCGAGUCCCUGGACAAACCCUGACACUGAGGCACGAAAGCCAAGGGAGCAAACAGG